CUAAUGCAUGUGAAAUUAAAACUCCCUGUCUUUGUAAUCUCAUUUAAAAUCAUCAGAUGAAUAAAUAAAUAAAUAAAUAAAAUUUAAAAAAUAAAUAAAUAAAAUCAUCAGUUGGGAAAAUGUUGCCAUUAUUUGAUUCCAUUCUGGUGACUGAGGGAAAAAAAUCAAAGACAGAGGAAUAUAGUUAAUAAAUAAUCACGCAUUCAUACAAACUCCAGCUUUCUGCUGCUCUCCCCGUUGCUUAGAAAUCAUCGCAUUUUAGGAUUUUUUCCCAACAGCCUUCCUCUCCGGCCGGCCGUGGAAGACGCCCCAUAUUCUGCAUGAUUUCGACGAGGAGUCCCGUGCAGCGACAUCGGUGGGGCGUCCAGCAGACCCACAGGCGUCUGGAGAAAACCAGUCAUUAGGAAGCCUGGUCUUGUUAAAGCUGUGGCCUGGGAAAUCGUUCUCUUGGCACCUAAUCAGGACUGGUGACUUGGCAGGUUUCAGCGGGGGACCGUCCCCCAGGCUCCGUGACAGGUCUGCAGAUUGUGAGGACGGCCACGGCCCGCGGUGGCUGACGGUGGCUGACGGUGGCUGGCGCAGAGCUGCGGGGGGGCCUGCCGGGCAUCUGCUCCCAAGGAGGCUCCCCUCCUCCCCGGCUCAGCCAGGAGACCCCCCCAGCUACACAACCCCCCACCUCGUCUGCGUGGCUGCCACGGACCCGCCCCACUGGGGUGACCUCAGGGCUCUGAAUGCACC
rnacentral:lncRNA from 1 species